AAGGGCCCGUCCAGGCCGAGCGCCCCGGUUGCAAAAGUUGAGCUCCGCCGCGCGCGCCCUUCGCGCUCCCCUCCGCGCGCUCCUGCGCUCCUCCUCCUCCCCGCCCUCCUUCCCCAAGUUUUCACAGAUGUGGUCAGACUCUGCUCUCCUUCCCCGCUCCUUCUUCCCUCGCGCGCCCCCACCCCCGCCCCGUCCCUCUAAUUUCCGCCACUCGGAGGAGCGCUGGGGGGGACGCGCCGAGCCGCGGGACGACGACGCCGCCGCCGCCGCAGGGGGCGAAGUUGGUUUUAAAACUUGGGAAGACUGCUCGCCUUACUUUGCUUUCCCGCUCCUUUCCAGGCCGCGCCCGGCGGGGUCCCGCUCCGCGCGCGCGGAUCCCAGGGCGCUGCGCUGAGGGGCGGCACUGAGGCCGCGCGUCGGGCCGGGCAGGGCUGGCGCGGGCAGCCGGGAGCCACGCGCUCCACCGCCUCCGCCCCUCCCGGGUCCUCACACAGACACAUCCAGGCCUGCUCCUCCUCUUCCCCCUCCUUGACCCCGCGCCCGCGCGGCGCGCCAGGCCCCACCCACCCGGCAGGAGGAAGGGGCCCGCGGGUGAUGUCACCCGAGCCCUCCAGGCCUGCGCUCCCGCGCAGCCGAGCAGCCGGGGCUCGCGCGCUGCCGGGCGCUUCGCCCAUGCCGCCUCUCUUCGCCCCCCCCAACCCCGCUCUCGGGCUGGACUCCCCUUCCUUCUCUAGAGACCUCUCAGAUCGCCACUGCCCCACCCCCGCACACCUCCUGGUACUUUUCCCUAGGCCAAGCCUGAAACUUCCUCUCGCGGGAUGAUGCUUUUGAAAGUUGAAGACUUUCCUCCCCGUUGCGUUAAACUCCGUUUGGGACGUCUCGCCGUACAGCCUACUGUCCCCGUGGGCCACUUUGCAAAGAACACAAAGACCCGAGCUGGGAACCGGGACUUGAGCUGAGAACCCUGACUUGCACGGGGUUCUUUUCCUUAAGAUGCAGAGUGCCUGUCCUUGGUUUCUUUUAAAAGACCCAUGUUACUUCAACCGGCCAGUGCACUCUCAUCUCUCUCUCCCCAUCCAGGUACUCACCCCAACCUGUUACUUGAAAGGGAGGAUUUCAAGGGGGUGGAAGAAAGAAGAAAACCCAAGAGACAUUCCAGAAUACCGGAGUAAGCAGUUGGCCCACCAGGAGUGCCUUGGUGCUCAGGGUGCUCUGUGGCAGCCGUCUUGAAGGCAGAGUGGGUGGAUGAAUAGCUAUUAUAAUUUGAAGAACAUUUUGAAAUUCACGUGCUAAACUGGGGAAAUUUUUUUAACGGAAUUGACAGUAGUAUUCGUUGUUUCUGGUGACUUGUUGCUUAUGACAAAGACAAAAGCAGAGAGUGACUUAAGCUUUCAGUGUGGGGCUCCAGACACUUCUUAGCCAUUUUUAAGCUUUCUCUCCGCUACAACACUCUGUAAGGCAAAGAGUGAAACAUCCUUCACUCAUCUCGGAGUGCAGGAAUAUCAACAAACAGAGGUAGCCCCAACCCUCCCCUCAGUAACUGGCCCCAGGCCCCAGAGUAUUCCCUCAGCCUCUGUAGACUCUGAGCCCACAGUAGAUGAGCGAGAAAAUGCAGUCCUCCUAAGUCCCGGGACGGCUAUGGAUCUCCAGUGAGAUUAUACCUGCAACGUUAUAAAAGACGACAUCGUGUGUGAGAACUAUUUUCCUUUUUGGUAUUUCAAGUUAGUCAGAGGGAUGGUGUGUUUCAUUAAUGUCAGAUACAUUGUUUCUGGCAUUUGGGGCUGCUGCUGCCUCCACCGCGAGAAUGCAAAUACUGCAUCCUGAUAGUUUUCUCUGCUUAUCCAGUGGCAAAAGGGACAGCCCAUAAAUCACCGGGCAUAAAAUAUAAAUUUUGACUUUUACUUCUU
ensembl:processed_transcript